rnacentral:lncRNA from 1 species
GCAAGACUGUUGGAAUGAGCUUGGGAGCUUCGCUCACCCCACCCUGGGUGCCUGUUACCAGAAAUUGCAUGACCCUCUUAUAUGUUUCUUCCCACACAGAAACAUGAUGCUGACAAUGACCCUCAUCUUACGGAUGAAACCAAUCCUCCAGCUCCUCCUCUCUGCAUGCGUCUCAGAACCAAUACCAAGAGGAAAAGCAAGAAAGCCAGCAAAACCAGGGAGAGCCCUAAAGAGGCAGAGGUGAGUGGAGGGUGUGAAGUUCCCUCCUGUCCUCUGGAGAGUGUUGCUUUCCUUUUCUUUUAGCGCUUGCUUGGCUUUUCUCCCAAAGGUUCAAAUCCAGAGAACCAACAUACUGAUGUCUGAGAAAGGAAAAUUAAAUACUGAACUCUAUCAUAUGCAAUGUGCUGCCAGGAACUUUGAAGGUGGGAAUCUGGGCACCCCGUCAUCCUUCAACCUGGUGCUUUGACAGGCCUUUUGGGGGAGUCCUUUGGGCCCCAUCUCAACCUCUCUCAUUUCAGGAGAGUCCACGGAUCUGGCCAGCCACCUGCAGUAUUCCCAGCAGCGUGUGGGAGAGUUGGAUUGGACUCUUUGCUGUCUCGACGCAGCAGAAGAACAUGGACAGGGUGAGUCCUAUUGCCUGCCCCAUCCCUUGGCAGCCCAGGUUCCCAGAUGGAGGAGUG